UACGAAGGGGGCUAGCGUUGUUCGGAAUUACUGGGCGUAAAGCGCGCGCAGGCGGUCUUCCAAGUCAGUGGUGAAAGCCCGGAGCUCAACUCCGGAACUGCCAUUGAAACUGUUAGACUUGAGGAUGAGAGAGGUGAGUGGAAUUCCCAGUGUAGAGGUAGAAAUUCGUAGAUAGUUGGGAAGAACACCGGUGGCGAAGGCGGCUCACUGGCUCAUUACUGACGCUGAGGUGCGAAAGCGUGGGGAGCAAACAGG
rnacentral:rRNA from 1 species